GUAUCGAAAAAGGGGUUUCUGAAAUACAAAACGUGAACUCGUAAAAGAACCACUGUUGCCACGAGGACGUGGAUUUAUAACAUAUGAAAUUGAUCUUGGGGGUUUCCAAUGAAAUGAGCAGUAGAUUGCCAGCGGGUUGGGCUGUGUUCACGUGACUACCGUUGUGAUUUAGGAGAACGCAGACAGACUUCAUACUAGGAACGUUAGAAUCUCCUGAUUUUGAUUUAAUUUUUUUUAAUCAUUGUAAAAAAAAGGGGGUUUUGGGGCGAGGGGUGUGUAUCAUCAUCGUCGUGUUUUAAAGUGAUAUACGAGACGUUUUAACGUGAUAUAAAAGAGACCGUUGUUGACGUGUUCUGACAACUCUCCUCGUGGUUUUGUCUUGAACUUUAAGCUUUUGGACGUGGAAAUUUUUCCUUAACAUUUUAAAAGUACCAUUUAAAAACCAAGAUUUGUAAACAUUUUUUAAAUAAAUUUAAAAUAAAAAUAAAAAUUGAUGUUAAAAAAAGGGGUCAGAAUGUGGGGUCAGAAUGAGGGGUCAGAAUGAGGGGUCAGAAUGUGGUCCCGGUUUGCUGCCUCCUGCUCUGCUGAGCAGCGUCUCUGUACAGUCAUCUCUUAUCAUCAUAACAUGGUGUCAGGAGUGAACCAACCUCAUCAAAUUGAUAUGAAACACUUUUCCCCAAAAGCCUUUUUGAAGCGAUGUCAUGUUCAUCAUGCACCAAAAUGGACAGAAACAGGGAGUACUAUUUGCCUUUUUGUGUUGCACAAUGUUUUUGAAACGUAUGUGCCCUAAUGAACACGACCCAGGUGUGGACAGACAGGCAGCAAGUCAACAAGGAUGUUAUGAACGUGUUAAAGGGGCAGUGUAAAACCAGUGUGAGGAAGAGACGGUUUAGGGGCUGUAGUAGUGUAGAUCCUGGAUUCAGUUGUCUUUUUUAAUUAAAGUUUUCACAUAAUAACAAAAAUAUAUUUGUUAAUCUUAUUAUGCAACUGAUGAACUUUGUUUGACUCUUCUUGUGUGAAAGACUGGUCUCCUGACGUGUGUUGAUAUGAUUGGUAGGGCAACGUGUCUCUUAACCGUCUGUCCUGUUUGGUUUUUGCACGUCUCCCGAUAAACGUAAAACUACCCCACUGCAUCCCAAAUGGAACACUAUACCCUACUUAGUGUACUACUUUAGACCAGAGCCCUAUGGGCCCUAUAUAGGGAAUAGGGUGCAGUUUGGAACUAAGAGCUAGUUUCACAUCAGUUAGUCUCCUAGCCUGGUCCCAGAUCAGUUAGUCUCCUGGCCUGGUCCCAGAUCAGUUAGUCUCCUGGCCUGGUCCCAGAUCAGUUAGUUUCCUAGCCUGGUCCCACAUCAGUUAGUCUCCUAGCCUGGUCCCACAUCAAGUUAGUCUCCUAGCCUGGUCCCAGAUCAGUUAGUCUCCUAGCCUGGUCCCACAUUGGUUUGUGCUGUCUUGACAUGGAAGCCGGAACUAUGGGACAAUAAACAUUUAUAGCCUGGUUAAACCAGACUGAAUGUUUCAAACAAUGGUGAUCAGCGUUCCAGUAUGGUUUAACCAGGCUAUAAUAAACCUCUGGGAGAAGAUAUUAGUUGAAUAAUAAUAAUAAUAAUCGGCUUUUCAGUCAGAAUUUAUCAGCAGGUUUUUUUGGUUACUGUAUUUUUAUUCAUAGGAAGAACACUUGUAUUUUACAUUUAACUGAAUUACCAAAUAACCUUGUCCAUUUUUCCAUGUGUUUAUAUUGAUGCUUGUAUACGAUGUGUAUGCACCGCCGUAUGGGAGAAACAAACAGUGAACGAGGAAGUGCGCGGUCAUUUGAGAAGAGAACGUGAUAUUUUAAUCGGAUGGAUUUCACAGUUACCUGUCCUUGUAAAACUUGUUGAUAUGAUGCGAACAUGUACAGCUGGCGAGGAAGUUGUAAUAAAUAUUGUAUAAAACUAAAUUCACCUGUUUCUCUUGAGUCUUUUUAUAGAAAGUCAUAUUCAUGUUUACUAACCACNNNNNNNNNNNNNNNNNNNNNNNNNNNNNNNNNNNNNNNNNNNNNNNNNNNNNNNNNNNNNNNNNNNNNNNNNNNNNNNNNNNNNNNNNNNNNNNNNNNNAUUCCCCAACAGUAACAAAGCCCAGAGAUAUUCCCCAACAGUAACAGGGCCCAGAGGUAUUCCCCAACAGUAACAGAGCCCAGAGGUAUUCCCAAACAGUAAGGAUAACUCACAGUGUGUCCCAAACCCUAUUCCCUAUAUACAGUAGGCCUAGGGGUUCAUGCUCCGGUUGAUUAAAAAAUGUCAUGAUAUUUAGUGAUAUUGAUUUGUGUGUGGUUGUCAACACAACCACCAGAUAUCAACAUUUAAAGGAGAUGUAUCUUCUGAUUGGAUAGUUCCAUAUGAGCCUCUGACUGAGUCUGGCUUUAAUUCCAGUUUGUCUACAAAUUAAUAAUUGAUAUGUUGGAUUCAAGUCUUCAUCUCAACCAAAAAAGUUAAAGAACAGGAAUAAAUCAAAUUAAAUUUGAUUUAAAAUCAAAUCAAAUAUAUUUUACGUGCAUUUGAAGUUUAAUUUAAUGUGAAAACAACGGGGUUGUAGACUUUCAUAAGGCACGCUAUGUUGUAAUCUCAUUGAUCAACACAUCUACCAAAUAUUAUCCAAUUAUCCACGUUGAAAUGGCAUGGUGCGCCCUGUGGGAUUCCAGCUCCAGCUCUUUUCCCUGCCUAACCCAACCAGGAAGAGACACAGAGGCAAACCAGGAAGCAAAACCAGGAAACAGUCACAGCAGCUUCUACAGCCGCAAACAGACACAACAGGCAGUGGGAGGCUGGGUCAUACUGUUCUGUUUAUAAUGGAAACAUACACAGUGGACAAACAUUAGGAACACCUUCCUAAUUUUGAGUUGCCCCCCCCCCCCUUUUGCCCUCAGAACAGCCUCAAUUCGUCGGGACAUGGACUCUACGAGGUGUCGAAAGCGUUCCUCAUGGAUGUUGACUCCAAUGCUUCCCACAGUUGAGUCAAGUUAGUUGGAUGUCCUUUGGGUGGUGGACCGUUGUUGACACACAGGGGAAACUGUGUGAUACCAGGCGCGGUGUCAGAGGAAGGCCCUUAAAAAAGUCAAAGAAUCCAGCCACCCUAGUCAUAGACUGUUCUCUCUGCUACAGUACGGUAAGCGGUACCAGAGCACCAGGUGUAGGUCCAAGAGGCUUCUAAACAGCUUCUACCCCCAA
rnacentral:lncRNA from 13 species